GCAGUCGAACGAACUCUGGUAUUGAUUGGUGCUUGCAUCAUGAUUUACAUUUGCGUGAGUGGCGAACUGGUGAGUAACACGUGGGAAACCUGCCCAGAAGCGGGGGAUAACACCUGGAAACAGAUGCUAAUACCGCAUAACAACUUGGACCGCAUGGUCCGAGUUUGAAAGAUGGCUUCGGCUAUCACUUUUGGAUGGUCCCGCGGCGUAUUAGCUAGAUGGUGGGGUAACGGCUCACCAUGGCAAUGAUACGUAGCCGACCUGAGAGGGUAAUCGGCCACAUUGGGACUGAGACACGGCCCAAACUCCUACGGGAGGCAGCAGUAGGGAAUCUUCCACAAUGGACGAAAGUCUGAUGGAGCAACGCCGCGUGAGUGAAGAAGGGUUUCGGCUCGUAAAACUCUGUUGUUAAAGAAGAACAUAUCUGAGAGUAACUGUUCAGGUAUUGACGGUAUUUAACCAGAAAGCCACGGCUAACUACGUGCCAGCAGCCGCGGUAAUACGUAGGUGGCAAGCGUUGUCCGGAUUUAUUGGGCGUAAAGCGAGCGCAGGCGGUUUUUUAAGUCUGAUGUGAAAGCCUUCGGCUCAACCGAAGAAGUGCAUCGGAAACUGGGAAACUUGAGUGCAGAAGAGGACAGUGGAACUCCAUGUGUAGCGGUGAAAUGCGUAGAUAUAUGGAAGAACACCAGUGGCGAAGGCGGCUGUCUGGUCUGUAACUGACGCUGAGGCUCGAAAGUAUGGGUAGCAAACAGGAUUAGAUACCCUGGUAGUCCAUACCGUAAACGAUGAAUGCUAAGUGUUGGAGGGUUUCCGCCCUUCAGUGCUGCAGCUAACGCAUUAAGCAUUCCGCCUGGGGAGUACGGCCGCAAGGCUGAAACUCAAAGGAAUUGACGGGGGCCCGCACAAGCGGUGGAGCAUGUGGUUUAAUUCGAAGCUACGCGAAGAACCUUACCAGGUCUUGACAUACUAUGCAAAUCUAAGAGAUUAGACGUUCCCUUCGGGGACAUGGAUACAGGUGGUGCAUGGUUGUCGUCAGCUCGUGUCGUGAGAUGUUGGGUUAAGUCCCGCAACGAGCGCAACCCUUAUUAUCAGUUGCCAGCAUUAAGUUGGGCACUCUGGUGAGACUGCCGGUGACAAACCGGAGGAAGGUGGGGAUGACGUCAAAUCAUCAUGCCCCUUAUGACCUGGGCUACACACGUGCUACAAUGGAUGGUACAACGAGUUGCGAACUCGCGAGAGUAAGCUAAUCUCUUAAAGCCAUUCUCAGUUCGGAUUGUAGGCUGCAACUCGCCUACAUGAAGUCGGAAUCGCUAGUAAUCGCGGAUCAGCAUGCCGCGGUGAAUACGUUCCCGGGCCUUGUACACACCGCCCGUCGCACCAUGAGAGUUUGUAACACCCAAAGUCGGUGGGGUAACCUUUUAGGAACCAGC
rnacentral:rRNA from 2 species